GUAUAGGAAUCAUGUCAAGACGGACUCAAGCAUAAAUGGAUAACGGGUCAAGAAAAGGGCGAGGAAUCGGAUACGAGCACGGACGCAUAAGGUACAUUACUGAAGCCUCACCAGGAAAUGGAUACGCAGAUGAAAUGCUUAAAGUUUGAAAAAUGACGAAUAGUGAAGUGUACGUGAAUGAAUCUUGUUUAUAUAAUGUGUGCUAAUGUAUGAAUGAAUGUGGUGAGUGCAGGUUGUACGAAUCACGGAUUAACCUCACAAGGAGUAGCGAU
rnacentral:lncRNA from 1 species